rnacentral:rRNA from 1 species
AUUACUGGGCGUAAAGCGCACGCAGGCGGUCUGUCAAGUCGGAUGUGAAAUCCCCGGGCUCAACCUGGGAACUGCAUUCGAAACUGGCAGGCUUGAGUCUUGUAGAGGGGGGUAGAAUUCCAGGUGUAGCGGUGAAAUGCGUAGAGAUCUGGAGGAAUACCGGUGGCGAAGGCGGCCCCCUGGACAAAGACUGACGCUCAGGUGCGAAAGCGUGGGGAGCAAACAGGAUUAGAUACCCUGGUAGUCCACGCCGUAAACGAUGUCUACUUGGAGGUUGUGCCCUUGAGGCGUGGCUUCCGGAGCUAACGCGUUAAGUAGACCGCCUGGGGAGUACGGCCGCAAGGUUAAAACUCAAAUGAAUUGACGGGGGCCCGCACAAGCGGUGGAGCAUGUGGUUUAAUUCGAUGCAACGCGAAGAACCUUACCUGGUCUUGACAUCCACGGAAGUUUUCAGAGAUGAGAAUGUGCCUUCGGGAACCGUGAGACAGGUGCUGCAUGGCUGUCGUCAGCUCGUGUUGUGAAAUGUUGGGUUAAGUCCCGCAACGAGCGCAACCCUUAUCCUUUGUUGCCAGCGAUUAGG